rnacentral:lncRNA from 1 species
UGAUUUUUUCUGCGUAUCGCUACCGGCUGAGUUGCAUGCACUGAUGCAAGGUAUGGCUCUAGUGGCUCAAUACAGUGAUGUUCCUAUAAUAGUGCAAUCGGACUCCUCAGAGGCAUUGGCGUCCCUGACCAGUGAUAACCUGUCUCAGUCGGCAUAUGAACAUUUGAUAGCUGAGAUCAAGCAUCUUAUGGUACAUCAUGAGUUUAUUUAGCAGAAAAUUAAGCUUGAGCAAAAUAGGGUAGCAGAUCGGUUGGCUUUGUAUAGUCGUAUUGAGAAUGCGACUGCUGUAUGGCUAGAUCGUGAACCACCGUGCAUAGUUUUGCCUCUCAAUUGUAAACCUGUUCUUAUGAAAUAAAAUUCUUUACCCUCGCAAAAAAAAUCACAAAGAAAAAUACACCCUCUGUACUAAAUGUAAGACGUUAAUAGGCCAUUACAUUCUAGCUCUGCCUAAGCCGGCAAUCAGACCCAUGGGUUCAGCCGCCCAUGGGCACCCAAACCGAAUAAAUAUUAUACGCACAGAUUGUAUGGUAGUACAACUGCAUUGAGGGCUCAUGCGGAAAGCCAAGCCACUGACAUUAGCUAACCAAAUUUCAUUCCAAGCCAUGACAAUUAAUAUUCUCGCCAUCUUAAUGCUCAUAUGCACUCACAAUCAGUUGCAUCCAAAUGUGACAAGCAUGUUACCAGAUUGACCAUAUGGAAUACAGCACCACCAACACUUGUGUAUAUGAUUUGAACAGGCAUCAGUACAAACAAGGGCGGACAUAUAAAAAAGCUUCAUUGUUGCUCCAAGGCAUACCUAUUAUUAAGUCACCAGAAAGCAUCAUCAUAACUCAUCAGACUUUAAGAAUUUCAUGGUGAUUUCAUGGUGGUAGUUCAUACGCUUGUAGCUUGUGAUUAUCUAAUAUCAAGAUUUCUAGGCGGCCAAUUUUAUUCCUAUACGUUUCACGAAAAUUAUGUCAUUAAAAGUAGUUCAAAAGCUGCCCACUGAAAGCUAAGGAAUUAACCACGUGGGAGAUCAAGAUGUAGAGUACACUGAAGUUCAAAUCACAUAUUACUGGAAAUAUCAACGGUGCAUAGAAAGGGGGCAACACACAAGAGGCAAACAUAGAACUAGGGGAGGAGUGGUGCAGAUCAGGCUGCACCCCUGUGGGCCCUGGGAGUAAGCAAGAAUGUAGGCACGCAAUAUCCAACGCAUUCAUAUGGGCAAAACCCACUCUGUAUCCGAUACACUUGGUGAUCCACGUUGCAGAUGCCCUUACACCCCUGAGUGACAUUUCAACAUUCAAAUGGUUGCUCACAGAAAGCAAGCCAUCCCGAUUUGCACGCUUCCACCUAGUCACACAAAACCCUAACCCUAAUACAUACCAUAAAUACAAGUGAUGGUAUCUGAUCUCAAUACACCUCUGAAUGAGCCUUACUCAUCAUCGCCAUCAACAGCACUUAGGCGCAAAUCCCACAAAGAGAAUAACAGAGAAGCCAAUAGUCAAAGAGCGCAAGAUCACCAGAAACAACAUGAGAAUCGGUAAAAGCAGAAAGAAUCACUAUAUCAGGAGCAAAUCAUGAACUGGUGGACACAAAAACUGGGACAUGUAUAAGUAAAUGGCUCAGAUACACUCCCAUCUCAACACUGUAACUGAAUUUCUGGUAGAAUGACCAUGAACAUUUAUAUUUGUGAACGGAGGGAGUAACAGUUAAGAAGGGGAGCCUUGGCGCAGCAGCGGUAAAGCUGUAGCCUUGUAACCUUGUGGUCAUGGGUUCGAGUCCUGGAAACAGCCUCUUGCAGAAAUGUAGGGAAAGGCUGCGUACUAUAGACCCAAAGCGAUCGGACCCUUGCCCGGACCCUGCACAAGCAGGAGCUACGUGCACCGGGCUGCCCUUUAGGGAGUAAUAGUUAGCCGCUAAACUGGUUGCUUGCUGUGACACAAGCCAUCCUAGUUUAGCAGCAAGUGAAUCAAUUCAGGUGUUAGAUAGAAGCUCUCACAGGGAGGUUAUAUCAUCACAGCCAUUCAUGAACAUGACACACAAAAACAGUAAUCUUGACAGCUGAACUUGCCCUAUACGACCCUUAAGUUGAAACCAGUAAAGAAGUAAAGAGAAACCAAAAGUACAAACUGAUAAGUAGAUAUAGAGUACAAUAGAAGGAUGAAAUUAUUAAGUCAAAUAGCAAUUGAAACAAGCAAACUGACCCAGCACCAAAUAAGAUAGUUUCAAAAACCAUCCAAGGGACAGCAGAAUUAUCAUAGCCAUUCAAGAAAAAGGAAGAAACAGAAAAAGGGGGGAAAAACAGAAGAAAGAAUUAAGUGUGGCUGGAGUACUGUUCCUAAAACAACAGAACUGGUUGACAUACUGCAAAACCAACAAAAUGUGUAGGAAAAAGGCGAAAAUAUAAACUUGAAAAUUAGUCCCUUGCAUCCACCAGACCAUGAUUUUACCGGAAGAACUGAUAUCAUAACCGAACUCUCAAGAUAUUUUUUAUGUAUACGUGGAUGCGAGCAAGCAAGAACUACAAAUUCUCAAAAAGGAAAAGAUCAGUUCAAAUUUUGGGAAGGGAACACUCAUUUUUACUCGGAACAUUAUUGGGCGGGAGGCUCAGAGUUGGCCCAUUUAUAAAAGGUAGUCAUGGUAAUUUUGCAACAUGAGAUUAUAGAAUAGGUAGGUGCAGGAUUAUGACAACAUUGUGCUUUCCACGUAUUGGCUUCUAUAAGCAUUAAAAUGGUCAUCAGCAGAAAGCAAACAGUGCAGAUUGUAUUCCUUGAGGCCAGUUAGCAGUUGCUGUGUGGACCAAAACAGUACUCCCUCCGUAAAGAAAUAUAAGAGCGUUUAGAUCACUACUUUAGUGAUCUAAACGUAGUGAUCUAAACGCUCUUAUAUUUCUACAGAGGGAGUAGAAAAGAAGUUUGACAACUUGCCGACUUGAAUGUACAUCACUACCAAAAGAACUAGUAAAAAUUUAAUAGGGAUAGUAAAGGACAUGGAAUAUGACCAAAGAACUAGCCAUGAACAGGGGUGCGUGGAAGCUAGCUAUCCAUGUGCCAGAACCAUGAGUUGGUUGCGAGAUCUUAUGGGUUUCAGCUCUAGCCUACCCCCAACUUGUUUGGGACUAAAGGCUUUGUUGUUGUUGUUGUUGGUAGUAAAGGAGGACAUGCACAGAUCAUGUUUCACAUAUUUAACCCCAUGAAAAGGGAGUAAACACAUUCAACCACUACCAGUACUAGGACCACCAACCACUGUGAGACGAGCUUGAGCAAAAGCCCGAAUGCACCGAACUGGUUCCCUCCAUGAACAACAAAAUCAUGAGAAGGCAAACCGAACACCACAAGAGGUGACCUGUGCGUUAGCCAAUCUUAGUGAGAUGGGCCAGUGCCAGAACCACGGCAAUUUAUCACUCCAAUCAUAAAAAGGCCAUCGGAAUAAAUAAAUGUGUAAACCAUACUGUAUAGGAGGGCACAGUACUAGUUGAACUGGGAGGGCUCAGAUUCGCCUUUGAUAGAUCAUACAACCUAGCCCCACCCUCUUCAUUCACCAGAUCAACCCCCCACCAAUGAAGUCAAGCUCUGCUGGUUAUCACUCAACAGAAUGACCGACAGAGCCAUCAAUAUUCGUUGAGAAUGAAAAGGUCCCAAAAGAGGGGAGAGCGUGUUUUUUAUACCCACGGCUCCUCGAAUAAUCAAAGACAGGUUUAUUGUCAGCCAAGUUUGAUCAUCAUCUCCCCUGAUAUAGCUCCCUUUGUGCAUGCAACAGGUAAGGGUGAAAAGUAGGUUGGAUCAGAUACAGAACAUCUGCAGCUAAGCACAGUAUCAGCAGCUGGAGGGUGAUUAGAACACAUGAGGAAUAGUUCACAAAAUCCUGGGAAAUUUUUGGGGAGUACUAUUUGAAUGAAUGGCUCAGAUUUAACCCACCAUGAAUCACCAAAGUUGGGAAAUGUUCCAGGUGGUACAAAAUCCUGGGAAAAUUUUGGGGAGUACUAUUUGAAUGAGUGAAGUGGUACCAUAAACAAUAAAAUAUCUCUCUCCCUCUUCCUCUCCCUCUCCAGCAACAAAUUGCCGCAACUAGUAACUUGCUGCAGAGCAAGGCCUCCUAGUUUAACGACUAACUGUCUAACUGGGCAAAGUUGAAUGGAACCAACCUAGGAAACGUGAAAGCAUCUCUAUCUCAGGACAUGUUGAAAGAUCAACACCAAAGAACACAAAGGAAACAAAUAUGCCAUGUCCGGAACACUGCACUGAUGUCCGUAUUACUCGAAACGAAAGAAGCAAUUGACAUUUGUUCACUUCAGAUAAAAGGAGUAACUACAAGACAAAUAAAAAACAGGAUGACAUAAACUUUCCAUUUUGAAACAGAAGAAAAGCAUAAGCUUGCAAAAAGGGAUGCGUAUAAUACAAACAGAAAACAGGAAAUGCAGCUCGCCCGUUUAUCCCAUGAAAAUGGGGUUCUAAUGCUAAAUAGUACAUGUAACAUAUGAUAGUGGCAAUACUAUUCCACCAUGAAACUGAACACCAGUCAAUCCAACCUCUGGCAAAAUGAAAACUAAACCAAAGCAAUAAUACUGAAUAAAUUUAAAAAUAUAUAAUGAGAAGGGGGCCAACCGCCAACAUAUAAAUCCCAAAUGACCCAAGCAAAAGCUCCAGGAGGACAUUCAGUUAUGGUAUGACAAAAUAUAAGAGCCUUUUUAACAAAUACACUUUUGCAGUUGAUAAAUUUACUUGACACUCAUUUAGAAUCCGUGCAAGGGAUCUGUACCACACUAAUGCAUCAGAAAUGUGGCAGUUAUUAUUGACAGCAGCAGCUAAAGAAUAGACUAAUUACCAAUGAACUAAAUAGCAUAGAGAAUCGUAACAAAAGGUCUGCUCUGACCAAAACAAAUACGAAGGUAAUAUGAGCUUCAGUUCAUAAAAAACAGACAUAACAGAUCAAAACUUUGUCUUUGAAGAAGCAUCUGGCAGGACAAGAUAAGCAAGAGAACAGCUUCUCGUUAACCAGUUGAAUAGAACUGCCAAUAGCUACAAGCAUUGGAGGAAAAAAGGGCAACCGUUUGACACAUAUAUAGUAUGUACAACUAGAAAGGCAAAAACGAUGCCAACUAGAAACCAACCCAAGUAAAGCUAGGGUGGUUGGGUUCAUCACCAAGAGAAGAUACCAAUCCAGAUCCAGAUCACGCAUCAACACAAAAGGAAUAGAAAUUAAAAACAAUGUAUAGUGGAGAAGGAAAAACUGAGUAUUGUAGCGUAGCAAGAGGGCUCAGUUUUGCCUUUCAUCUUGAAGCCCAACACUCACGUCUCUUGCUGCAUAACCUACCCAUAGCGAUGUAAUUGAACUGCCCUGGUUAUCACACAUCAGAAUGACCAUCCAAGGCGCAGAACAUCCAACAUUAGCCAUGAAUUGAACAGGCUGCAAGAGAAGUAAGGGUGAGCUCUUAAGGGCAUCUCCAACGCCGGCACCCAUUUGGGCCCUAUUACGGCUGUCUUGAUUGCUCAAACAUAAUUAUUUCAGCCACAGGCAUCAUCAUCGCCCCUCUUUUUUUUUAAGGAAAAAGGUCAAAUCCCCAAGCAACAUGACCAUAACAUCCAUCCAUUAGGCUAGUCAUAGUGGUGAGUAACUUAGACAGUCUCAGGAGCUGCUCAUACCUGGCCUCGACCGACCAAACCUCACAGUGUGGGCGACGCAUCAGACAACGCCUUACGGUUCCCAGCCAUGCCACAACCAAAUCCAAGGCAAUGGACUGGCGGCAGCUGGCAGCACCGUAGAGACCGGGAUCUGACGUGGCAGCCACCCGGACAAUGGGUCAGCGAGUCGGCAAUGAGAGCUUGACUGAUUUGAUUUUUUUUGGGGGGGGGAGGGGGGAUACAAGGAUCGUAAGAAAAAGAGGGCUCAGUUUUGCAUUUCAUCUUCAAACCCAACACUCACAUCUCUUGCUGCAUAAUCUACCCAUCACAAUGUAAGAGAACUGCCCUGGUUAUCACUUAUCAGAAUGACCAUCCGAGGAGCAGAACAUCCAACAUUACCGAUGAAUUGAACAGGCUGCAAGGGAGGUAAGGGUGGGCUCUAAUUUAGUACCCACAAGCCACAGCUGUCUUGAUUGCUCAAGACAUGCUUAUUUCAGCCACAGUCAUCAUCAUCACCCCUCAUUUUUUACCGAAAAGGAGGCUGUAUCCCCGGCCUUUGCCCACCAAGCAAGAUGACCCUGAUAUCCAUACAUACAUACAUACAUACUCCCUCUGUAAAGAAAUAUAAGAGUGUUUAGAUCAUACUCCCUCCGUUUCUAAAUAUAAGCCCUUUUAGAGAUUCCAAUAUGGACUACAUACGGAGCAAAAUGAGUGAAUUUACAUGCGUGCACAUGUCCAUCCAUCCAUCCCCAUCAGCCUCAGGAGCUACUCAUGCCUGGCCUGGACCGACCAACCAGACCUGAUGACGCCCCAGAUAACACCGUACGGUUCCCAGCCCACGCCACAGCCAAAUCCAAGGCAAUGGAACGGCAGAGGCUGGCAGCACCGCAGCAGUGAACUGAUGCGGGCACCACCCAGACGAUUGGCCAGCGAGUUGGCAAUGAGAGCUCGACUGAUUUGGCUUAGGGUUAGAGGUAGAGGGGUGGGGGUAUACGUAGCAUAGCAAAAGAGGCUCAGUUUUGUCUUCCAUCUUCAAGCCCAACCCUCACAUCUCUUGCUGCAUAAUGUACCCAUCACGAUGUAUGAGAACUGCCAUGGUUAUCACUCACAGAAUGACCGUCCGAGGCACAAAGCAUCCAACAUCAGCGAUGAAUUGGACAGGCUGCAAGAGAGGCAAGGGUGGGCUCUAAGGCCAACUCCAACGCAGACACCGAUUUUUCGGCUCUGUUUAGUACCACCACGCCACGACUGUCUUGAUUGCUCAAAACAUGAUUAUUUCAGCCAUCGUCGUCAUCACCACCAUCAUCAUCAUUGCCCCAAUUUUUCCCCCAAAAAGGGGGUUCAACCCCAGUCCGGGGUCUGCACACCAAGCAACAUGACCAUGAUAUCCAUACAUACAUACUCCCUCCGUUCCAAAAUGUACUCCCUCCGUUCCAAAAUAGGAGUCGUGGUUUUAGUUCACGACACAUGAAUGCAUCCAUCCAUCCAUCCUGCUCAGGAGCUGCUCAUUACCUGGCCUCGACCGACCAAAUCUCCCGGCUCGAACGACGCAUCAGACAACAGAGCACGGUGCCAGCCCACGCCACAACCGAAUCCAAGGCAAUGGAAAGGCGGUGGCUGGCGGCUCCGUAGCAGUGUGGAACUGAGGCAGCGGCCACCGGAACGACAGGUCAGCGAUCCGGCAACGAGAGCUCGCCUGAUUCGGUUUAGGACUUACCGGUGUGAACAAUGCUCGCACGCAGACACAGAGUGAGCGAGUGUGUGGGAGUCUGAGAAAGAGAGAGAGGGAGAGAGAGAGGAGAGGGGGGGAUACAAGGAUCAUGAUCAUAAGCAAAAGAGGGCUCAGUUUUGCAUUUCAUCUUCAAACCCAACACUCACAUCUCUUGCUGCAUAAUCUACCUAUCGCAAUGUAAGAGAACUGCCCUGGUUAUCACUCAUCAGAAUGACCGUCCGAGGUGCAGAACAUCCAACAUUACCGAUGAAUUGAACAGGCCACAAAGGAGGUAAGGGUCGGCUCUACUUUAGUACCCACAGGACACCGCUAUCUUGAUUGCUCAAGACAUGCUUAUUUCGGCCACAGUCAUCAUCAUCGCCUUUGCCCACCAAGCAAGAUGACCCUGAUAUCCAUAAAUACAUACAUACAUACAUACAUACAUACAUACUCCCUCUGUAAAGAAAUAUAAGAGUGUUUAGAUCAUACUCCCUCCGUUUCUAAAUAUAAGCCCUUCUAGAGAUUCCAAUGUGGACUACAUACGGAGCAAAAUGAGUGAAUUUACAUGCGUGCACAUGUCCAUCCAUCCUCAUCAGCCUCAGGAGCUACUCAUGCCUGGCCUGGACCGACCAACCAGACCUGAUGACGCCCCAGAUAACACCGUACGGUUCCCAGCCCACGCCACAGCCAAAUCCAAGGCAAUGGAACAGCAGAGGCUGGCAGCACCGCAGCAGUGAACUGAAGCGGGCACCACCCAGACGAUUGGCCAGCGAGUUGGCAAUGAGAGCUUGACUGAUUUGGUUUAGGGUUAGAGGUAGAGGGGUGGGGGGUAUAUGUAGCAUAGCAAAAGAGGCUCAGUUUUGUCUUUCAUCUUCAAGCCCAACCCUCACCAUCUCUUGCUGCUUAAUCUACCCAUCACGAUGUAAGAGAACUGCCAUGGUUAUCACUCAACAGAAAGACCAUCCAAGGCACAAAUCAUCCAACGUCAGCGAUGAAUUGGACAGGCUGCAAGAGAGGCAAGGGUGGGCUCUAAGGCCAACUCCAACGCAGACACCGAUUUUUUCGGCUCUGUUUAGUACCACCACGCCACGGCUGCCUUGAUUGCUCAAGACAUGAUUAUUUCAGCCAUCAUCGUUAUCACCAUCAUCAUUGCCCCUCCCCAAAAAGGAGGUUCAGCCCCCGUCAGGGCUCUACACACCAAGCAACAUGACCAUGAUAUCCAUACAUGCAUACUCCCUCCGUUCCAAAAUGUACUCCCUCCGUUCCAAAAUAGGAGUCGUGGUUUUAGUUCACGACACAUGAAUGCAUCCAUCCAUCCUGCUCAGGAGCUGCUCAUACCUGGCCUCGACCGACCAAACCUCCCGCACGGACGAAACAGCAGACAAUCACUCUACGGUUUCCUGCCCGCGCCACAACCGAAUCCAAGGCAAUGGAACGGCGGUGGCUGGCGGCUCCGUAGCGGUGUGGAACUGACGCAAUGGACACCGGGACGAUGGGUCAGCGAUCCGGCAACGAGAGCUCGCCUGAUUCGGUUUCGGGUUAGGGUUAACUGGUGUGAACUCGGCGCGCGCGCGCACACAGAGCGAGCGAGUGUGAGUCAGAGAGAGAGAGAGAUGGGGAUCGUACCGAAUCCAAAGCAAUCCAUCGACGGCGGCUCAGAUCCCGCGCCGGCCCGACCGGAGCGCACCACGGGCCCCGCCGCUGGCUCCCCAGCCCGCGCCGCCGCGGACGCCUCCCGCGCAGGCGGCAUCCCCGAGGGGGGUCCCCAAGCCGAUGCGUGACGGCGCGGCGGGAGGGGCUGGCCCCGAGGAUCGGCGACCCGGCGCGUCGGCCGCUCGGGAGCCUGGCCGGAUCCGGCGGCUCCCUCCAUCAUCGCCGCCGUUUGGGGAGGGACGCGGUCAUCGGCCACGGCGAGCGGGACGGACGGUGCGGCGGGAUUCGAUUGGAGCGCUCGCAUCGCGUGCUAUGCUCCGCCGCCGCACGCAGCCAUGCCGCCGGUGGCCUCUCGCGGCCGGUCUGGUCCGAGGUAGGAGUACUAGCUAGCUAGGGUUCGGCGGCGACGGGAGAAGAGAUGGAUCCAAAUCAAGGGAAGGUAACCCGAGGAGGCCUGCGAGGGCCGAAUGAAAGCGCGGAGGGGGGAUGAAAGGGUACACGUGUCGUGUAGUGGCCUCACGGUGCAUUUUCUCUUUCUUUCCUUUUUAACACCGCCCUCUUGGCAUUUUAUUCAUGAAGGCCGGCUAUUUUUUCUAUAGAAAACUUUCAAUCUAUUCGUUGCAAUCAUGAUAGUACAAUGAACAUCGAUAGUAACAAAAAUUCAAUUAAGAUCUGUAGAUCAUCUAGCGACGACUAAAAAUACUGAAGCGAGGCGAAGGCAUGGCACCGCCAUCGCCCUCAACUCGUCGAAUCCGUGCAAAACUUGUUGCAGUAGACAGUCGGGAAGGCUUCGAGCUAAGACCCCAUCGGACCAUAACAGCAACCGCCACUAGUGAAGAGAAAAACUUAGAUUGAAAGGAUCCAACCUAAAGACAUAAGAACAUACACGAACAAAAACCGGAUCCGAGCUGAUCCACCAAAAACAACCAUGACCAAAUCCUGCAAGAUACGCCGGAGACACACCUCCACACGCGCUCCGACGAUGCUAGACUCACCAUAGGGACGGGGUUAGGCGGGGAGAACCUUAUUCAAUCUUCAGGAAGUCAUCGUCGUCCCGCCUUCCACUACGCAGGACACAAACUAUGACAAAAUUCAAAGAAAAAUCUUAAAACGGGGCCCUCCCGCCGAAAAGGCACGGGACCCACCACACCACAUGGCACCAAGGCCACAUGAGACGAAACAAAGCAGAUUGACAGCGCCAAUGAUAGGUGGGAACCCUAGUCGCGUGUUUGCUUGGGAGGAGACGAAGAGAUAAGUCGAAUCACAACAACAAGUUGGCUAGUUCUUUUGUUGCUUACUUGGAGCUGUGGAAGUUGCCCCUACGCAGCUUACUUUAGAAGCCUAAUAAAAAAAUUAUUGUAGAAAGUUACUGGUUAUGGGUAUGAGUCAAACAUGGACCAUCAAUCAACAACAAUUGCUAAAUCCACCCCAAACAACGCCCCCUUCAUAUAGCUAAAAAUAGAGAACUUAGGGCCCGUUCAGAUCCUAUCGUCGCCCGCGUGUGCAUAACAAAUGCGAGACACCAAGGAGUGCAAACAUCCCUUGCCGAUUCGUAGGCGGGGCUCAAGGUGUGGGCCUGUCGCAAUGAGAAAUGCACGAAAUGACACAACGAUCUACCCAGGUUCGGGCCGCAUGAUUUUGCAAUCCCCUACUCAUGCUUUGUGUGUGGUUUAUUUGGUGAGCAGUGAACUACAAGUCGUUUCUGGGAACGAAAAGAGUAGUGUACUCGUACCGGUGUUCUACCAAGCAUCCAACCCUCUUUUUAGUAGCCUCCUUUUAUAUCUCAAGGGGUACCACAAAUGGCUUCGUUGCUAAGGAAACUACCUUGCCCCGACAGGGUAGGUACGCGCAUUAAAUGUGCGAUGAAGUGUCAUCAUCUUCUGACUCCCGGGAAUGAACAACCAUCUUUUCAUCGCCGCUCAGGUGGUGCCUUGGUCCGUCAUCCUUUCGGUACGUAAGCGGAUGACUUGACCCCGGCCCCGCUAUAACUCCACCACCCAGGCUGCCUGCUCACGAUGUGUUACAAAAAGGUCAGUACAAGCAGAACUAUCAUGCAAUGUGUGGAGCACCGUGGCCGGGCGGUUAGAAUAGUCAUUGUCAGGCGGCUUCGUUCGUGGACGUCUUUGUAAACCUCAGGCUUAUUGCCGAAGGGUCUUGAAACUAAUGUUGAAUGUCAAAGAUCUUGACGAAGAUUUGCAUGCCACCACGGGGCUCCUUACCAGAGUUCCUCCCUAGGCAUUUAUCCUCCUAACCACGAGGAUCUACUUGUGGUCCGUGCGCGGCUGGUUAUGUGAACCAGCUAUUCAUGGUGCCGACAGAUCCUCUUCGUCUCCAUGCUUCCCCAGCUCCACGCUGGAGCGGUGCCGAAUGGCCCAGCUCCAUGGAGCCAGCUUCUAGCAGCCUAGUCCCCCACACUGUAAUUUCGUGGAGACAUAGAAGCGUAGCUCCUCCAGCUCCUCCAGACGAAGACGAUGGAGUUGGUUAAAUUUACGGGAGAAUGCCCUUCUGAAGUGGCAUAUGUAACGUUUCGAUCCGAAGAAUACACGCCGAGCGAGGCGACGGCCUCAUGAUCCCACAGCCAGACCAGACCAGCCCACGCCUAAGCGAAGGAGCGGAAGUUGGCGCUACUGCCGAAAACUUCGCAUCUCCCAUGUGAAGCCGGCUAGGGUUGGUUGGCUGAGAAGCUUGCUUGUUUGGGAAGCAAGAGAGCUUCCGAACAAGGCCUUAUUAUACACCAACGAGUGAUGAGUCAGCUCAAUGCAUGAAAUGCAGAAGAGAAAAACACAUUCUUCAUGCAGAACCACUUCGCAAAGGAGUAUCAUGUGAUGAGCUGAAGACAUGGCACGCCUGGUCUCAAAAAAGGGGCAAAUCCUCUAUUUUUAAACAGCUACAACCCACUACUUAAAUUUCCUUUCCAUGCAACGAUGCCACAUCACCAAGUUAUGCAUGGAGUCAUAAGUUACUUUUUCCAUUAAUCCCUUCAUGACUUUUUUCCCAGCGAAUCAAGUCAUGUAAGACACUUUAACAUUUGUUUUUACAUUAAUUUUAGUUUAUUAUAUCAUUUAAUCAUACAAGUUUUAUUCUUAAAUCGCUACAAACCACUACCUAGUUUUCCUUUCCAUGCAACAAUGCCACGUCAUCAAGUUAUGCAUGGAGUCACAAGUUACUUUUUCCAUUAAUCCUUUCAUGCAAAACAUACCACCCCGUGCAUGACUUUUCCAGGGAAUUAGCCACCUGAGACACUUCUAUAUUUGUUUUUGCAUUAAUUUUAGUCUUAUAUCACUUAAUCAUACAAUUUUUUAACAAGGUUCCCACAGCAAUGCCCUAGUGUUCCGAAACCAUGGGUUCAACACAAGGAAACCAUGCGUUCAACGCAAUCUAGGACACUGAUAAGUGUCACACGUGUGACACAAACACAUGGCAACUUCGAACAUUUUUUAGGCAAGUUUAGUGACGCAAGAAUGGAUACUUUCUUCUCAAAUGGCAGGUUUAAGCUUUUCUUUUUGGAUGGCAAUUUUAGUUGUAAAAAACGCCAGGUCCGGAUUGGUUCGUGCCUGACACUUAUCAUUUACGUAAAUGGUCGAGAGCAGUAGUAGCCUGCCACUACCUCCCCCGUAUUGAACAUUGCUUGCAGCUUGAGCUGAGUAGCUGCAACUGCCAGUUCCAAACCAGCCGAUGUAGACUGCGGCACUUUAGAAUCCAGAUGAAACUGUAUAACGAGACAUAAUGGUAGACAGGCAGAGGAAACUCAAUAUUUAGAUUCUCAACAUUAUGCCUCUAGGUAAUGAAUAAUAAAAAUCUUCCGUACAAAUAGUUAUGUACUGGGCAUUAUCUCUGUAUGUAUAGCAACAAUUUUGAAUAGUUAUUAUGAUAUUUACUGGGCAUUAUCUGUGUAUGUAUGGCAACACUGAACUUGCCAUAAUGUAUUUCUCAUAAUGUGGCUCAUCAGGUUCUUAGAAGUUUACCAGAACCUGAUACUAGUUGUUUUGCUUCAGCUCAUACAAACAUGCUAUGCCCUGUUGUUUCUCUCCUGUCUAAUUUCAAUUUCCAGUGCUAUGUAAUUCACGCUGUAAGAUGUUACUGAGCUGAAUGUAUUGGUUGGCGCUUCAUGCGCCUUUCUAUGUUCAAAAAAAAAAUGCUCAUAUGCAGUCACACUCGGUUGCAUCCAAAUGUGACAAGCAUGUUACCAGAUUGACCAUAUGAAUUACAGCACCACCAACACUUGCAUAUAUGACUUGAACAGGCAUCAAUCAGUACAGAGAAGGGCGGCCACAUAAAAAGCUUUAUCGCUGCUCCAAGGCAUACUUAUUAUUACCACACCAGAAUACAUAAUACAGCAUCAUCAGAACUCAUUAGACUUUGAAGUAUUUCAUGGUGGUAGUUCAUACACUUGUAGCUUGUGAUUAUCUAAUAUCAAGAUUUCUAGGUGAGCAAGUUUAUUCCUAUACGUUCAUGAAAAUUGUGUCAUUAAAGGAAGCAGUAGUUCAAAAGUUACCCACUGAUAGCUAAGGAAUUAACUACAUAGGAGAUCAAGAUGUACAGUACACUGAAGUUCAAAUCACAUAUUACUGGAAAUAUCAAUGGUGCAUAGAAAAAGGGAAACACACAAGAGGCAAACCUAGAAAUAUAUGAUGACAUCGAAGACCAAAUGUAAUAUCUUUUGGCUGACGCUUGAGGUGCCAUAGUGCAGCAGAUGCAUGAAUGAAAAAGAGCAACGUAGCAUAAUUUAUACAAUAUAUAAAGGUACGGAAGGGAAGAAAACCAUGCGCGAAAUAAAAUGCAGGAACGACUAAACGGGAACACUGAGCAUAGAAACAGAACAUGCAAGUAACAAAGGACGUACAGUUGCAAAUAAUAGCAUAUUUUGAACAAAAGAUGUGAAGCCCUCUGCCGCUUCCCAGGGCCCUCAAAUAAAGUAGAACCUCUUGAUGCAUCAGUAAGUAAAAGCAUUCUGAGUAUGUAAGUGUAAAAUAGCACAAAAUCCAGUUUGCUAUGAGAAUAUCUUGUAAGUUCCACAGAUGAUAACAUAUAUUACAGUGAGAUCCCAAUACUGCAAUAGUUCAUUAAUAGAUUGAGAAUAUUCAAAAAUAUACAUAAGCAAAUAACCACAAAUUGUAGAAAGAGAGGUCAUAUUUAUCAAUAAAAAUGGGAGGCUCAGAGUUGGCUUGUCUAUCAUAUGGUCAACCCACUCUGUAUAGUGUAUCCUUGGUGAUCCGCGUUGGAGAUGCCCUUACACCCCCGUGUGACAUUUGAGCAUUGAAAUGGUUGCUCACAGAAAGCAAGCCGCCCCGAUUUGCACACUUCCACCUAGUCACACAAAACCCUAACCCAAAACCAUACCCGUAAAAACAAGCGAUAGUAUCUGAACUCAAUACACCUCUAAUGAGCCUUACUCAUCAUCGCCAUCAACAGAACUUAGCACAAAUCCCACAAACAGAAUAACAGAGAGAAGCCAAUAGUCAAAGGGCAUGCAAGAUGGCCAUAAACCACAGAAGAAUCAAUGAAAGCAGAAACAAACACAAUAUCAGGAGCAAAUCAUGAUCUGGUGGGCACAAAAGUUGGGACAUGUACAAGUAAAUGGCUCAGAUAUACCCCCAGCUCAACACCAUAACUGACCUUCUGNNNN